UGUUCCCCAGAAAUAUGAGAAAUGUAAUUCCGCCCAAUAACUUGUGUAUUUAUGCCAACAACGCCCAGCGGCUGUGAAACUUUAUUCGCAUGUUAUCUAUCGGGAAAGACGUUUGCUUACGGUUUCAUAAGAAUAUUUUUCAGGAGAAUUUCAUAGGAAUAGAAUCGUCAACAUUUUGUUUUGCCGGCGUCAUGUACAGACGGAUUCUAGUGUCCCUGAUUGUAGCAAUUUUGUGUUGCGUCGUCUUUGUCAACGCCCAAAGAAACCGGAAACUGUGUCACCAGUAUGACGGAAUCUGCCAGGAUGCGCGGUGGACCACGGCUCUGGGCUUUCCCACCUGCGCCACGCUGAAGGCCGGAUACACCUGCAAGGACAUCCAUGGCUUAUGUCGGUGUGUUGCGAGCCACAGCGGGCGAUGGUUCAUGACCGGGGGCGAUCGACAGCCGACCGAAGAGGAAUAAAUCUUAACAUUGGUGGCACGUAUAUAAAUAAUGAUAUUGACAUUAAAACAUGUUUGGAAUAAUGUCAUAUAAAGAGCAUACAGCAUUUGUGGUAAAGACUUACAACGUCAUAAAAGUAGAAACUUCAACAUGAAGUAUGCUGCUAACAAAUUAUACAGGAACGUGCAUAUAGAUCAAACAAACGCUAAACGAGAGAAAAUCGUAAAUAUUAUAAUAACGCUGCACAUCGUUAUAGAUUUUGACUUGAAACGAGAAAAGCAUCCACUACAGUCGAUUAUGCAUAGCCAUUUUGUGUGAAAUACGUGUAUUAAUAUGUUUUAAAAUUGAGCCAAAUUAGUUAGUAUGAUUAUUGCUUUUGAAUGACUAAUAUUAUUUAAUAUCGUAACAAAGUUCGACCACACUGAUCUGGCACCCGUGAAAUCCAUAAACGCUUGUAUUGUUUCCUAUAUUAUAUAUUGCAAUUCAUUUUGUUCGUGAACGUUGUGCACGAUUUUAGAGAAAAUAAUAGUUUAUUAAGUGAAGUACGCCUCGACCUUUUUUAAUUGAUUCUUUUUCCGAAACAUAUAUACGAUACUAACACCUAUUAAUGCAUAAAGGUUAGUAAAAGACGUAACUGUACAAUAAAGCAGUGAAAAUUA